CGCUUCCAUUGUUCCCUACGUGGGGACUUAAUCUGCUAUUCCACACAGAAACGUUCCUUUCCCCUUUCUCUGUGUCACCGGGGCCGCCCGCUCCGUACGCGGGGCUCCCACCCCCCCCUCCGGCCCCGCCCCGCCGCAGGCUCCGCCCGCCCUCACCUCAGAUGCCCUCCGCAGCGCUCCCCCUCCCGCCGCCUCCAUCUUGCGCCGCCCUCCCCCGCCGUGCGGCAGCGGCCGCCCCCGCCAACAUGACUACGGUUCAAACGAGAGCCGUGCUUCCCUCCUGGCAUCCGCUCCCCAGGAAGCGGGACGCACCCGUCGCUGCACGACCAUCCUGCAGUCCUUCCCACCGUGGCGGUGCCGACGCUCUGGCACCGCCUGGGUUUGGAGCUCUCUGAGCCGUGGUGCUGGGUGUUUUGACUGUGGGAAUGCUAGUAAACCUGUUCACCACAGUGCUGUAAUUGCCUCUACUGGUGGCGUUAGGCAAUGAAAUCAGACAGUGGUGAGAGAUUUCCUCUGGACGUUCAUUUCAACCUCUGUAGAAAUUCUCUUCAGACAAAAUGGAGAUCAUAGGAUCAUAGAAUUCUUAGAAUUGGAAG
rnacentral:lncRNA from 1 species